AGGUUAAACUCUCUCGUUUAUUCUCUUAGACUUUUCCCAAUCCUUACUCGUGCGAUAAUUCGAGGAAUUCUCUUACGCAAUCAAUGUUGAUAGACGAAGUGAUCGAGAAAACAAUGUUUGAACUAUUUUUGAUAAAAUGUUGGAAUUUGUAUGACAUUUUAGCAUUGUGAAAUUGAUUUAAUCUAUAUUGUCA